rnacentral:lncRNA from 1 species
CUAACAAAUAUGGCUUCCUCUCAGCUGUUUGGAGGAGGUCAAGUUCCUGUUAAUUGUAAAUUAUGUGAAACAGAUAGACCAAUACAGUGGAAAUGCAUGGACUGCAGUAUACUGAUGUGUGGUCAUUGCAAGGACAAUGUACAUUCUCAAUUUAAAAAUGCACUUGAUCAUAAGAUCAUCAAAAGAGAAGAAAUUGGAUUGCAUACUGAAACACUGGGUUUUACCAAUAUUAAAUGUAAUGAACAUGCUGGACAAUCAUCAUGUCUUUACUGUAAUACAUGUGAAGUUCUUGUGUGUCCAACCUGUGUUGCUAAAAUUCAUAAAAAGCAUGAUUUGAUUGAAAUUAGUGAUGAAUACAAAGUGAAAGUCGAGAGACUGAAAAAAGGACAAAAUAAAAUGCAGAAGAAUAAUUCUAACAUGAAUGCGAAGAAAGAUGAGUUCAAUAAACUUAUGUCAGCAGAAAAUUCAAAGUAUGCAUGCGUAAGACUAGAUAUUCUUAUGCAUGAGAAAACUGUAAAAGAACAAGUAGAAAAAUAUUUCAAGAAUCUCUUAAAUAAAUUAGAUCAAAGUCAUGAAACUGUUUUAACAACAGUUAAAUCAGAUCUUAAUGCUAUAUCAAUAUUCACAAAUCAGACAAAAGACAAAAUAAAUAAAGUCCAAGAAUUUAUUGACAUAUCCAAUGCCACUGAUUUCUUCAAAUGUGUUAAACAAAUGGAGAAAUCCACUGAAAUCCGAGAACUGCAAACAAAGCCAAGCUUCCGUUCAUCACCAAAAUUUGUUCCAGGGAAUAUCAACCAAUCUCACAUUGGAUCAUUACAAGACGAUGGGAACUUGUCAGCAGAAAUACACAUCUCCCUAGUCAUCAAUAAUGAAUAUCAGACUGAACUUGAAAUAAUUGCAAACGUAAGUCCAUGCCUUGACCAGUCGAUUUGGUUAAGUUCUGGUGCUUAUAAGGUGUUACAAAGAGUAAAACCUGAAGACAUCAAUCUGAAGGUUAUAUCUAAAUUUGACAUUAAAGCGAAUGGAUUGGCAGUUACUCCAUCUCAUCAACUCUUUCUGAGCAUCAAAGGGAAAACAAGGUUGCAACAAGUCAGCAGUAGUGGUGAACUGACUGAUUCUGUUUAUGAUUUAACACCUUACCUUCCCAAUGCUAUCCAUGUUGUCAGUGACAACAAACUUAUAGUUGGAGCUUAUAAUGAAAAACUAAAAAGAAGUGCUGUGGUCAUAAUGAACAAGAAAGGAGACAAGGAAACUGUAUAUGAACAUAAUAAACAUAAUCAACCUUUAUUUAAUAACCCUAGGUGUAUAACCACUACCGCUAAUGGAAAUAUACAUGUAGUGGAUAAGAUAACAGAUGUUUGUAGUGGUAAGGUAGUGAUCUUAGGACAAGAUGGAAAUAUAAUAGACCAGUACACAGGUCAUUCAACCAUCAAUAAGAUUAAACCAUUCACACCAGUAAACAUUGUGACAUCACCAAGUGACAAUGUUGUUGUGACAGAUCUGGAUACUGACAUCUUACACAUUCUCAAUAAUAAUGGCCACUUGAUUUCAUAUUUCAAUACAAAUGACAUAGGAAUAAAAUGUUCAUAUUCUCUUGCCUUCAACACAACUGGACAACUAUAUAUAGGAUGCACUAGGGCUGGGGGUAGUCAGACUAAGGAAGCAAAGCUAUAUGAAAUAAACAUUGCAGGAUUCUAAUAUAUUCAAAACAUAUAUUUGACAGAAACUGAGAAAAUAGAUAAAAAAAAAUCAAAUCAUCUAAAACAAAAAUUGCAUCAAGCAGCAUUGCCAACAAUUUUAGCUGUUUGGAUACAAAGGAAAAAUGAAUGAACCUUUUUUGUGAGGAAAAAAGUCAUCUACUUUAAAUUGGGAGAUACUCCUCU